UCGUCCUCACCCUGCCCCUCGGCAGGGGAGAGAGCAUACGUUUGACAGCAAAGGAUUUGACCAAGAAGAAUUUUCUUCAGCUGAACCCCAAGGCCCGAGGGCUCACGAAGAAGCUGUCAGUUUGUCUCGCACAAGCUUGCAACUAGGCAAAAAUACCUCCAGAUGGAAGUCAGUGAGCAAUGACAUCCCUCUACAAAUACAUUUUACAUUUAGGACUGCUACCUUCAUUUAGUUCUUGCUCUAAUUUGUAUCUUCCUUUCAUUGAUCUACAGAAUGGAUGCUAAGAAGUAGUUAUUCUACCUAUAAUAUGUAAUGGGAUCAAAAUAAAUGGAACUUUUUUUUUAA